GUGCUCGCUUCAGCAGCACAUGCACUAGUUUUGGAAUGGUACAGAGUAGAUGGGCAUGGCCCCUGCGCGAGGAUGACAUACAAAUUCAUGAAGCGUGCCAUGCUUUC